ACGCCAUUAUUAAUGCCACCACCACUACUACUCAGAUCUAUCUCUCUCUCUCUCUGCGAAUUUUCUGGUCUCGCUCGACCAAUUUGAAUUUGUGUGCCAGCAAAUUUGUCCCCACAGACCACAAUGCAAUGUUUCCCCCAAAGGCAUCUUGUUGGAUAUUUUUAAUACUUUGUUUUGUUCUCUCCUCUUUUACUCUCAAAUUUUUGUCAUAGAAAAUAAACAAGAUCCAAAAGUGUAAGUGUGUGUGUGACAACAAAAGCAUAAAACAUCACAGCCACAAAGUUUCUUCUCAAGCACAUCCGUUUAUCAAAUGAGAUGAUACAAUGCAAAUGUGUUCUGGUUUGGAAAGACGUCGUAUUUUGUGUAAUACGUACGAUUUUUGGUUGUGAAUAGACCAUUCAUAGCUAAAAUUUUCAUGCCAAAGAAGAUCUUGAAUACG